AGAGUUUGAUCCUGGCUCAGAUUGAACGCUGGCGGAAUGCUUUACACAUGCAAGUCGAACGGCGGCACGGGAGCUUGCUCCUGGUGGCGAGUGGCGAACGGGUGAGUAAUGCGUCGGAACGUACCGAGUAAUGGGGGAUAACGCAGCGAAAGCUGUGCUAAUACCGCAUACGCCCUGAGGGGGAAAGUGGGGGAUCGCAAGACCUCACGUUAUUCGAGCGGCCGACGUCUGAUUAGCUAGUUGGUGGGGUAAUGGCCUACCAAGGCGACGAUCAGUAGCGGGUCUGAGAGGAUGAUCCGCCACACUGGAACUGAGACACGGUCCAGACUCCUACGGGAGGCAGCAGUGGGGAAUUUUGGACAAUGGGGGCAACCCUGAUCCAGCCAUUCCGCGUGAGUGAAGAAGGCCUUCGGGUUGUAAAGCUCUUUCAGCUGGAACGAAACGGUACGCUCUAACAUAGCGUGCUAAUGACGGUACCGGCAGAAGAAGCACCGGCUAACUACGUGCCAGCAGCCGCGGUAAUACGUAGG
rnacentral:rRNA from 1 species